GAUGAACGCUGGCGGCGUGCCUAAUACAUGUAAGUCGAGCGAACAGACGAGGAGCUUGCUCCUCUGACGUUAGCGGCGGACGGGUGAGUAACACGUGGAUAACCUACCUAUAAGACUGGGAUAACUUCGGGAAACCGGAGCUAAUACCGGAUAAUAUAUUGAACCGCAUGGUUCAAUAGUGAAAGACGGUUUUGCUGUCACUUAUAGAUGGAUCCGCGCCGCAUUAGCUAGUUGGUAAGGUAACGGCUUACCAAGGCAACGAUGCGUAGCCGACCUGAGAGGGUGAUCGGCCACACUGGAACUGAGACACGGUCCAGACUCCUACGGGAGGCAGCAGUAGGGAAUCAUCCGCAAUGGGCGAAAGCCUGACGGAGCAACGCCGCGUGAGUGAUGAAGGUCUUCGGAUCGUAAAACUCUGUUAUUAGGGAAGAACAAAUGUGUAAGUAACUAUGCACGUCUUGACGGUACCUAAUCAGAAAGCCACGGCUAACUACGUG
rnacentral:rRNA from 1 species